rnacentral:rRNA from 1 species
GACGAACGCUGGCGGCGUGCUUAACACAUGCAAGUCGAACGGAAAGGCCCUGCUUUUGUGGGGUGCUCGAGUGGCGAACGGGUGAGUAACACGUGAGUAACCUGCCCUUGACUUUGGGAUAACUUCAGGAAACUGGGGCUAAUACCGGAUAUGAGCUCCUGCUGCAUGGUGGGGGUUGGAAAGUUUCGGCGGUUGGGGAUGGACUCGCGGCUUAUCAGCUUGUUGGUGGGGUAGUGGCUUACCAAGGCUUUGACGGGUAGCCGGCCUGAGAGGGUGACCAGCCACAUUGGGACUGAGAUACGGCCCAGACUCCUACGGGAGGCAGCAGUGGGGAAUAUUGCACAAUGGGCGGAAGCCUGAUGCAGCAACGCCGCGUGCGGGAUGACGGCCUUCGGGUUGUAAACCGCUUUCGCCUGUGGCGAAGCGUGAGUGACGGUAAUGGGUAAAGAAGCACCGGCUAACUACG